CAGCUGCCCACGCGGCCUGAGCACCGUGAUGCGACCGGCUGGGAAUGUCUUCCGCAGGCUGCAGCGUCCUCUCGAACGUGCCCCAGCCCACCCAUGUGCCCGGGGGGCCAUGACCUCAGUCCUGACUCACACCUGGGGUUGCCUUCCUGGCCCCGGGGGGCUGAAUCAGCCGGGCUGAUUGCCCAGGACAGAGGGACGCCCCCUCGCGUGCAGCAGACCCGCAGGGCCAGGAACCCGGGCCGCAAGCCAAGACUCGCGACUUCUCUCUCCUCUCCUCCUGCCUUGGUUUCCUCUCGUCUUCAGUGGGACGUCAGAACGUCCCCAAGAGCUGGGGUCCCGGGUCUCGGUGGUGAGAAAGCUACUCUUUCAGUUCCCGCUCAGACACGGGGGGGGCUCCCUCUGUGGCCCCUGCACUGACUCCCAUCUCGGCUGCCGGGCUGUGACCUGAGAGGCCGUCACGUCGUCGUCUUCUCAUCCUAUUUCCUUUCACGGCUCCUUGUCAGCGUGUCGACGUCGAACACGGGUUUCCCACCCUGAUGGUGACCCCGCGUUUCCUUGACGUUGGGGUGAACCCCGGCUGUGGGAGGGAGACGUCGGAAGUGUGGGCAACGGGAAAGGCCGGGGAGGGCAGGGUCUGCGGCUGGAAGAGACGGUAUCAGGUGCCGGGGCUGCUGUGACAAAUGACCACAAACUCGGUGCUUUCAGCAACAGAAAUGUGUUUCCUCAAGUUUCCGGAGAAUGAAAGUCCAAAGUCGGCAGCAGGGGGCUGAGGUCCGGGGGACGGGGCCGCGGUUCCCCCCAGGCUCCGGGGAGGGUCCCUCCCGCCUCUUCCAGCCUCUGGGGCUGCAGCGUCCUGGCCUUGUGGCCAUGUCACCCCAUCUCUGCCUCUGUCUCCACGUGACCUCUGCUGUGUGUCGUGUCGGGUGUCCCCCCGUCUCGUUCUUGUACGUGACCGCGUCCAGGGUCCACCAGGACGACCUCCCCAUCCGAAAAUCUGAAUCUAAGUGCAUCUGCCGAGACUCUUCUUCCAAAUGAGGGAAAAUCCGCAGGCUCCGUGGAUUAAACUGGAUGUGUCUCUGGGGGCCGUCGUCCCGCUGAUCACGGAGCUGAAAGGGAGAACUGGAAAGGCUGUGUGAGCCCAACCCCGGGAUGUGCAAUCGGGGUAGAAAGCCACUUGAGGACGCUGUGGGGACAGCAGGGGAACUUUGGGCACGGAUGGUGGGUUAGGUUGCAGCUUGGUUAGGAUGGAGGACUGGGCCUUGAGGACCUGCUCUGAUGUGCUGAGAGGUGAAACGACACCCACUCUGCGGCUCAGUGUCACAGAUCCGCUCACGGAAGAAGGUUCCACAGUUUUGCCUGUUCGACAACAUCACAUAAAUGGACCUCUUUUGUGUCCUGCUGCUUCUACUCAGCACGGCGUCUGAGAUUCAUCCACGUUGUGUGUUUCGGGGAUUUGUUCUUUUUCAUAGCUGCGUAGUAUUCCCUGGUGUGAAUUUGCUCCGUGUGUCGACCCAUUCUCCUGACAACAGAGCAAGAAGAAUGUACAGAAUCAGGAGUGGAUCCAGGAACCAGGUGUCCGUUGUGCUGCUCUGACGACCCUUCUGUAGGCUUGAAGUCUCAAAAGACCACAGUGAGACCCACUCUACCCCACGAAGAUGGCUGUCAUCAGAACCAAGGACGACCGCGAGGGUCGGCAAAGACGGGGAGAAACUGGAGGCCUCAGGCACGGCUGGUGGGAACGUAAAUGGUGCAGCUGCUGUGGGGAACAGUGUGGCAGGUCCUCAAAAAGCUAGACACAGAAUUGUCAUACGACCCAGCGAGCCUACUCCUGGACACAUAAACGAGAGCAAUGAGAACACAUGUCCACCCAAAACCGUCCACACGUGUCCAGGGCAGCAGGACUCACAACAGCCGAAAGAUGGAAGAACCGUCCAUCGACGGAUGAAUGUGUCCACCCACACACUGGAAUAUGACGCAGCCGUGAAGAGGAGCGAGGCCCUGACACGGCUGCACGUGGACGGACCUGAACACACAACGCUCAGGGAGAGAAGCAGACACAGAAGGACACACGGCGUGGGACCCCACGGACGGGAAACAUCCAGAACAGGCAGAUCCACAGACAGAGAGCGGGCUCGUGGG
ensembl:lncRNA